GUAUGUACAUUCAGUAUAACUAAAUCAAGAAAAUCUUCUAAAAAAUAAUUACAAAUAAAUCCUAAGAAAAGAUAAAAUAAAAUAAAAGUUCUUUAAGUGGCUAACUUUUUCUAAAAUAUAAAUUGCACCUUGACUUGAAUUCUAUAAAAAAAUUAAAAAGAUAAAAUAACAAAAAAUCAUCAAAACAGAGGUAUACAAAUUAAUAAUUUAAGAAAAAUUAAACGAGGAUUAUCAAUUACAAAACAAGCCCCUCUAAAAAGUAACUGAACCGCCAAAAAUCUUGGGUUUUAAGAAAAACUUUUAAUACCCUUAAAGAAAAAUAAAAGGGUAUCUAAUCCUUGUCUAAAAAAAAACUCAAAAGAGAAAACAAAAAAAUAAACAAUUAAAUAAAAUUUCACCCUAAUUUAAAUUUUUAAAUAAUAAAAAUCACUCUAAAUACAUAUCUUAUAAAUUUAAUCGUAUA
rnacentral:rRNA from 1 species